rnacentral:rRNA from 1 species
CCUACGGGGGGCUGCAGUGGGGAAUAUUGGACAAUGGGGGGAACCCUGAUCCAGCCAUGCCGCGUGUGUGAAGAAGGCCCUCGGGUUGUAAAGCACUUUCAGUGAGGAAGAACGCCUGGUGGUUAAUACCCAUCAGGAAAGACAUCACUCACAGAAGAAGCACCGGCUAACUCCGUGCCAGCAGCCGCGGUAAUACGGAGGGUGCGAGCGUUAAUCGGAAUUACUGGGCGUAAAGCGCGCGUAGGUGGCUUGAUAAGCCGGUUGUGAAAGCCCCGGGCUCAACCUGGGAACGGCAUCCGGAACUGUCAAGCUAGAGUGCAGGAGAGGAAGGUAGAAUUCCCGGUGUAGCGGUGAAAUGCGUAGAGAUCGGGAGGAAUACCAGUGGCGAAGGCGGCCUUCUGGACUGACACUGACACUGAGGUGCGAAAGCGUGGGUAGCAAACAGGAUUAGUACCCCAGUAGUC